GUACUCGACCUGACAAACCACGCACCGAUCGAUUAUUCCGCCAACCUCAGGUCCAAAUUUUGACGAUCGCAGGCAAUUCGAGAUUUGAUUCAACGAAAAUCCUCUCUUCUCCACUCCAACAAACUCUGCUAGAGCAAUCAGUUCUUCGUAAGAUAAUUCAUCUGGAUCGAUCUCAUCUUCUUCCUCAAUAUCAUCCAUAUCUUCAUCACUGUAAUCACUGUCCAGAAACCCUAGGCCGUCCUCGAAAUCGUAACCUUGGAAGUAUCCGUAAUAAUUAUAAUUGCCUUGGCUAAUUUCUUCUUCUUCUUCUUCUUCUUCUUCGUCUUCGUCCUCAGUUUCGCUUUCGAUUGUGGCGAGCACUGACAGUGCCGUCUCUUGUUCUUGCAGGUUAUUAAUGGCGAAAUCCGAGUCCGCCUGCUCCUUUCUUUGUUUGGUGAGGUCUUGGUUGUCCAUUGAAUAUCGGUGAAGCAAAUCGCGGAAUACAGAGUGAGAGAGGAAUGGUUGAAACAUAAAGGAAUACAAAUGGAGGUUUUCUUGCAGGUAAGUGUAACUUAGAUGGGAAGAAAAUGGUGAUAUUCCAGAUUUGGAGAUGGAAGGUGGUUAAGGUUUGAUACCAGGCUUUUGCCUUUGGUGUAGCUAUAGAUAGAGAGAGUGAAGGCUUCUUAUUGGACAAGGCAAAAACCAUCUCUCAUAAUUUGUGCCUAAACCUUGCCUAAUCUCCACGUAAUUUCUCCU
rnacentral:lncRNA from 1 species